UUUCACGAAGCUCCCAACGAACAGUUAUUGUACUGACGUUGCAUCCAGAGGCAGUUUGGAACUCGGUAGUGGGUGUUGCAACCGAGGGCAGACCAUUUUUACGCACUUCAGCACUCGGCAGUCCGGUUCUGUUAGCUUGUGUGGCCUACCACAUUGCGGCUGAGCCGUUGUUGCUCCUAGACAUUUCCACUUCACAAUAACAGCAGUUACAGUUGAGCGGGGCUGAUCUAGAAGGGCAGACAUUUGACCAACGGACUUGUUGUAAAGGUACCAUCCUAUCAGUGCCAAUGCCAUUCUACUGCCAAUUGCAUGGCUGUGUGCUCGAUUUUAUACACCUGUCAGCAAUGGGUGUGGCUGAAAUAGCUGAAUCCACUAAUUUGAAGGGUGUCCACAUAUAGUGUGUGUGUGCUUAUUAAGAACCCAAUCUUGUCUUAUUCCAGGGGAGAGGAGCAGUUCCCCAGUCGCUGGCUGACCUUCUUCAGUGCAAUCAAGUCCAACGGUAACGUCUUCAUCAGAGACUCCUCAGCAGCCCACCCCCUCGCCCUACUGCUGCUCACCGACUGUGACAUCACUGAGAGAGUGAAUGGUGACCGUGUGGAGGUGGCGUUCCCGGGGCGGUCGCUGGUACGCUGUGAGCUGUCUGUCCAGACAUGGGAGCUGCUGUGGGAGCUACGCUCCUCCAUCCAGACCAUGCUGUACCGCAACCUCCGCCCACACAGCUCAGCCAAUUACAUCACACAGGAUGGCAAGCUCAUCUCGCUAUUGGUGGAGCUGCUGAACAAUACUGAGUCCAAUACAGACCCCCAGCCAAACGGUGGCCACAGUGACUCUGAGGUAGACUGAUUCACUCGCAUUGGAAUAAAGGAAUGUCAAAGCACUGUGGAUGGAGUACUGCUUUGUGACCUGAAAAACCUCUGGCCGUAGCAAGAGUCCAUAGAUUUUUCUGGUCAGGAAAAAAGUACCAAAGCAAAAUGCUCGGGGCACGGUCUGCUGACAAAUCUGAGAAGACAUGUAAUAUCGGUUAACUGUACAAUAUUAUCCAUAGUUCACUACCCAUUCUAAAUGUCCUCUAUCUCCUCACCUGAGAUAUACAGAGAAAAUGUUUGAAAAUAUAGAUGAAUGUGAACACUGAGUUUAUAAUGGAGUUCGGGAAAAUACAUCAUGCCCUGAAGGUUUGACUCUUAAACUAUAUUUCAAGAGCCCCAUUUAAAUAGGAGUGAACUCAUGGUACUGUAAAUACUACUGUGAUUGCUCUCUAUAUGGGAGGAAAUCCAUUUGUUUGACUAGAUUAUGGACUCAAGUAUUUGUUUUUUGAAAAGCAGAAGUUGAAUGAAUCUGACUGUUAAUGAGUGUCUAGUGACCUGUGCACUACAGCGAGACGGUGUCAAGAUGACAAAAUAAUGAUUACAUGAAUGUAUUGUUAACCAUUAUUUUUUUAUUUAAAUAUGGUCUGUUGAAAGAAAGAUGUUAAACAAUGUUACUGGUUGCAAUUUUCCUCUCUGUACUGUGAUUGUGUCUGAAGUUAAAUGUAUUAUUCAUCUUUGGGCUGUAAGGUGAAGCCAGUUUUCAGGAGAACUCCUUGAGGAAGUGCAGGUGGAAGUUCUUCAGGCGUUUCAGUACCUCUUCCAUGGUCUCCACUGGGGUCAUGACACACAGUCUACAGAGAGAGAUGAGAACAAAUCAGUGGGGAAGUAUAACCAUUUAAAUAGAAUGAUGAGGCUAAUGCUAUGCUUCCCUGUUCAUUUGCAUAGGAUGAGUAGUGGAUAUGGAGCCAUUGACUACUGGAGUGUUUUAUGGUGACAUUUCUAUGUCCAGAAGCUGUUGACAGAGAGAGGAUUGUACCUGAUGUGGUGGGUGCCUUCCUUCUGUCCAUACUCACACCCCGGUCCCACACACACUCCUGCCUCCUCUAGUAACCGUUUACAGUACCACAGGUCAGGCUGCAUCCCCACCACCUGCAAUGGAAAACAGAAAACUCACAUAUAUAAGAGAUCAAAUCAUUAACUCCAGACUAUUUAGAAUUAAUCAGAUGUUGAAUCACAUGUUUUGUCUCUUGAAAUGCCCAUAUGACAAACAGCAGUAGUCAUGCUAGUGCUCUACCUGACCAUACAGUGUACUAUUUGCCCCAUGACUAACCUUGGCCUUCUCAAUGGCUGCUUGGGGUAGAUACAGCCGGGGGAAUACGAAAGCUCCUCCCAUCAUCGGCUGACAGCUGAUUCCUGGGAUAUUGUUCAGAAACUCUGGGACCCAGCUCAUGUUAUGGACCAGCAUGGCCCGGAUAGACUGGGUCUCCUGGCGGAGAUGGAAGAGAAGACUGAAAAGAAGGACACUGGGAGAGCAUAUUGUAUGGGACACUGAGGUGCAGUUGUGAAUAGGGGAAGGAAUACAUUUGUUUGAUUUUGAUGAACUAUUUCUUAUUUUAGAGACAUCAAUGAUUGCAGAGCACUAUCAUUAAACUACUUAUGACUAAAUGCUA